rnacentral:rRNA from 1 species
GACGAACGCUGGCGGCGUGCUUAACACAUGCAAGUCGAGCGGGGUCCAUCCGGUGGCAACACCGGUGAAGACCUAGCGGCGAACGGGUGAGUUACACGUGAGUAACCUGCCCCGAAGUUCGGGAUAACACCGGGAAACCGGUGCUAAUACCGGAUACCCCCAACUGGUCGCAUGGCCGGAUGAGGAAAGAUUUAUCGCUUCGGGAGGGGCUCGCGGGCUAUCAGCUUGUUGGUGGGGUAACGGCCUACCAAGGCGACGACGGCUAGCUGGUCUGAGAGGACGACCAGCCACACUGGGACUGAGACACGGCCCAGACUCCUACGGGAGGCAGCAGUGGGGAAUCUUGCGCAAUGGGCGAAAGCCUGACGCAGCAACGCCGCGUGGGGAUGAAUGUCUUCGGAUUGUAAACCCCUUUCAGCAGGGACGAAAC